AUGCCAGGCAUAGCUGGGGUUGGCUCGGAACGGGGACACAGGGCGACAUCAUCAUCUGCUAAGAAUUCAUUGUUCUGCAACUUGCCUGGGACACAAUGGCGAGGCAGGAGCAGGAGGGCUGGACGUGGGGCAGGGUGGGGGCAGGCGGGCUGGGUGUGUCUCCCAAACACAGCCGUCCCGGGGGUGGGGAGGGAACCAGCGGAUCAGUCAACAGGUCCACUGUGUGUGGGUUUAGGAUACCAAGAGGCAGGGACUCGAAAACCCCCGACACUACAAAGCAAAACAAAACAAAACAAAACAAAACAAAACCUAUGUGGAGCACUCAUGGUGUCCUAAAAGUCUAAUGAGAGUGUUCUUUCCAUUCUUCUCCUCUUGGGGUAACACACUUCCUUUUCAAUGAAUACUUAUUGAGAACUUCUUUUUGACAUAUUUUUAUUAUUUUAUUUUAUUUAAAGAUUUUAUCUAUUUAUUCAUGAGAGACAUACAGACAGAGAGGCAGAGACCCAGGCAGAGGGAGAAGCAGGCUCCAUGCAGGGAGCCCGACGUGGGACUCGAUCCCGGGUCUCCAGGAUCACGCCCUGGGCUGAAGGCAGCGCCAAACCGCUAAGCCACUCGGGCUGCCCUUUUUUGACAUAUUUUUAAAGGAUUAUUUAUUUAUUUAUUUAUUUAUUUAUUUAUUUAUUUGAGAAAGAGAGAGAGCAAGCAUGAGCAGGAGCGGGAGCGGGAGCGGGGGCGGGGAGCAGCAGAGAGAGAGGCAGACUCCCUUCUGAGCAGGGAGAUCGACACAGAGCUCCAUCCCAGGACCCUGGGAUCACGACCUGAGCUGAAGGCAGACACUUAACCAACUGAGCCACCCAGGCGCCCCUGUUUUCGACAUAUUUUCUAGGCACCCAGGAUAUGGAACUGAACAGGAGUGGCCAACACUGAGCCCAAAGUCUACUCAGGGAGGCACAAGCCCAACUGAUAAUCAUACACCCAGGAGAACAACAUAUUUUAUGGGAGUGAUGUGCAGAGUGAUGAUAUGGGAGCAUAGGAAAGGGGGAACUGGGGAAGGGAGAGGGAAAGAUUCUCUUCGGAAGCAAUCUCAGUGCGUUGGGACAUCUUAAAAAGUAGGCAAGGGACCCAAGUGUGUUUCAGAUACACAAGGCUCCAACUGACCCUCCACCAGGACCAAUUCUCCAGCGAUUUCUCCUUAUUUAUUUGAUUAAUGUGCAAAUAGGACUUUGUAGACGCCCAGCAGGAGUCCCCGGAGGACCCUGGAGGGCCGAGUAAGCCUAAGAAAGGAGAAAUAGAAAGAAUGGUUGAGGCCAACCAGGAAGCACAAAUGUGACUUCCACUUGGCUUCUGGAGAGAAAUUACCCAUCCUGUUACCCUCCUCUUCCCAGGAACCCUCUUCUCUUGGCCUGUCAUGUGACUUGUUCUCUGGCAUCCCGCUCUACUCAAGGCAAGGGGCCUCGGUUCAAACCCUGCCUUCAGUAGCCACAAAUGUCUACUUUGUUCAGUUGAACAGGCCACAAAUGCACCAUCCAAAUGCCUGAUUGCAGGGUGGCCAGCCGUGCUGGUUUGCUUGAGAGCAUCCCGGUCUUACCAUAAAAAGUCCUGAGAAGCCCCUGCAUCCCAGGCAAACUGGAGUGGCUAGUCAACCAGUGUGUCGGGACAGGAGCAGUCUUCAAAGUAGUUUCAUUCAACCUCUGAAACCAAAGGUUUUAGUGCAUCUGGGAGGUACCAUGGUCUAUGGAUGAUUAGUUAAGACUCUGGAGGUUAAGGGUAGACUUUCAGCUCUGCCAGUUACCCUUUCCAGGCUUUGGGCCAGUUACCUGUCGAUCUGAGCCUCACUCUUCAUAUCUGUGGGACUGUGGCAAUCACGCUACUCUCGUAGGACUGUUGAGAAUCAAUUGAGAGAAUGCCCACGGAGUGCUCGGCCCGUGAUCCGGAACAUUGUACGGGAUCAGUGAAUGAUCAAUACUCUUGUCCGCAGACUGAAGAUAGUGGGCCCAAUCCUGUCCGCCUCCUGUUGUUAUAAAGUUUUAUUGGAGCCACAUGCGCGUGUUCACACAUUGUCCAGGACUCCUUUCGAGCUAUAAAGGCAGAGCUGAGUAGUUAUAGUAGCUGCAAAGCUUAAAAUAUUUUCUGGUCCUUUAUAGAAAUCGCUGGCCGAUUCCUGCCUCUGUUAUAUUGCCGAGUGCUGUUGAAGGGAGGCCUGGGCCCCAGCCCGACAGGCGUCAGCUCUGUGACUUCAGUUAGACCCCUCAAUCCGCAGCAUCUAUGCCCUUGCCUGUGAAGCAAGUAGAUGACGUAUGAGGCCCGGCCGCGUGGCCAGACUUCCGGGACCUAUGUUUUAAACCUGUGAGAAUGCUUCGGGAAAGGGGUUCCGUCUGGGCAAGGCGGGGGAAGUGUGCAGUCAACUCUGGCUUUGAUGCCUCAUUGCUGAAUUCCCCAGGUUGGAUGAGGUGUUCCCCUCCUGAGCUGCACCCUUUACAGUAAGUCCCAGCGGCCCUCACGGGCGGAGGGGGGAGCAGGCUCAUCCAACCCGCCACAAGGUCUGUCAGUGGCUCUGGAGCCGUCAGGGGCCGGGCCUACCCACCAGGGUGUGAGGAAGCAUGAAUCACACCCGCUCCUACUCCAUGGACUUGCCUAAAGGAGGGUGUGCAGAGUCACCCUUCUUUGCUGCUGAUACCUGUUAGGUGACUCCGAGUGACCUGAGAGGUCGGCCUCCAGGCUCCUGCAAGUGCUCGUCACAGAAUGACGCCCUCGGCUUUCGAAACUGGAUGGAAACGCACAUUAACAGACGGCGGCGGCGGGGUGGGGAGGGAGAACCGGGGUCCCACGAGUUUUCCAUGAUUAAUAAGCCGUUACAUAGAAGGUUCCCAUCGACUCUUUAAACGUGACUCCCCGUCACACAGGACCCCCCCCUCCCCCGGCAGGUGCUUUCCCUCGUGUGUCUCCCCAGACACCGGCUUCGGUCCUCCUCCUCGGGGAGCCCGCCCGGGCGAACCCAGGCAGUCCUCCUCCUGUCUUCCUGUCACCUUGGAGCCUCCGCCGACGCCUUCUCCACCUGGGCUGCGGCCCGUGAAGGACGUGAAGGACGGUCAUUUCCAGGAGGUGGCAAGGGCUGGGCUGCCCCCCACGGGCGUCCGUGCCGUUGGGCUGGCGCCAGGCACCGCGAGGGGCUCCUGGUACAGUGUCCCUGGCACCUGCCCGGCCUCUCGCAGCGCAGGGAUUCCCGUGUCUCCUGCCUCUGGAGCUGCCUCGAGGCUCUGCUGCACCCCCUCUUUCCCGGGGCGCCGUCUAGGCGGUCGCUUCGUGCUGCCCUGCUCUGUCCCUGAGGCUGCGCGUCCGGGCCGGACCCCCUCCCCGACUGG
rnacentral:lncRNA from 1 species